AUGAUAAUGAUAAUGGUAAUGAUGAUGAUGAUGAUAUUAAAAUUAUUAAAAUAAAGUAAUCAACUCGAACAAGAGAACCGCAAAUAUUGCUCUUCAUUUUUUUGCUUUUCUUUUCACAAAAUAUUUUAACUUGGUCAAUUUACAAUCUCACACGCAAAAUCAUGUGACCAAAUGAAGCGUGACUCGUGUAAACCUGAAAAAAAAGAUUUUAUGAAGACUGGCCUGAACGUCAAUCAAUUGACUGGACAUUCACAACAACAACAAAAAAUUACCGCAUCACUAACUAACAAAUCAGGAGCUGUUUACCUGCAACUCUCAAUCAAUGGAAGACAGAGACAAGAUGAAGAGAGAAGAGAUUCAAAAGGAAAAUACAUAUAAAAAAAACAAGACUUUGCUUGUUGAUGCUUUUAAUGCUUGUUUCAUUGCUGGUUACCGCAUUUUAAGGCGUUGCGUGAUGGCCUCUUCAAGAUAGAGAUGAUGAUAAAAAGUAUGCUUUCUCUCUCUCUCUUACUUUCAUUCCUUCAUCUUCCUGAGCUGAUUACUUUCUUGGGCUGGUAAAUAAUCUUCAAAAUAGUAUCGGAAGAAGAAAUACUUGGGCUAGUCGGUGGACUUUUUCCCUUACUUUCCUUGCUUUAACUCUGAUGGCCAUGGUGUUGGUGGCAUUUGUAUAAUAGGAUGUUUAAUGGCCCAUGGUGCUACCUUAAAAUGGUCCCCUCCUCCUCCUCCCUUGUCUCUCUCAUACCAUCAUCUUGAUCAUCUCGAGGUCUUUACCCACUACCUUCACCACCAUAAUCUUAUUGAUUAGAACCCGCCGGUAUAUAACAGCAGAGUGACGUGGGCCAAAAAGAUGAUGAGAAAGAAGAGCAACAAAAAUAGGUUUGUCUUGAAAGACAUUGAAAGUUAUUGAGAUUGCCUGAUGAUGACAAUUAAAUGUAUUUUGAUUACACAAGCCAGCGAUAUUGACUUGAAAAUGAUGGUAAAAAUGGAUCAAUAAUGAAUCUGAGGAUAAAAACAAUAAUGAAACUGGUCGGAGGAUCAUCUUUCCCAGUCCAUAUCUAAUGGUCAGUAAAUGGCGAUGUUAUUAGAAACAAGGAGAAAUAUUUUGCCCACAAACAAAUGUCAAAAUGGUUUUACCCAAAGCUGUUAUAAUCGUUCACCAUUUCAUCCUAACAACUACUAAUCUGGUAAUCUGCAAGAGAAUACAAAAAGGAUUACAUUAAAUUCCUUACCAGAUUUGAUUCACUUUUUUUUCUGGCUCUCCAUCAACCAUUUAAUCUUUAAUUAUGAUGAUGAUGAUAAUGUCAAGAGAUGAUACAAUGUUUUCAUGUCAAAUUGAUUAUUUGACAACUUUUCAUUUUCCUCUUAUCUUCUCUUGAGAUUUCAUUUUCAUCUUGUUCACUUAAGAGGUUUUACUCUGUCAUCAAGGAUCAUCACCAUCAUCAACAACAUCAUCUUCUCACCUUUCACUUCUCGAUAAAGUUAUAUAAGUAGCCUCACUUGGGGACAACUUUACUCUCUCCUUUAUCAUGAACAUCUUUACUCAAUGAAACCAUCAUUUAAUCACUAGCUUCAAGCUUCAAGUUAAAUCCUUAUUAUCAUCAUUAUCCUCUUCAAGUUAACGCUGUUCAUUGUCAAUCUCAAUUAUUAUCAUCAUUGACUCUUAACCAUCAAUACAAGCAACAGCAAAACUUGGCCCAGUUAGCUUAUCCUCUGAUGUCUUAAAAAAGCGUCUCAACCUUUUCCAUCAUUUUACUAACAUUUUCAUAGUCUUUACUUGUUAUACAACUUUUGUCUUUCAUCCUUCAUCUCGAUCAUCAUCUUGAUCAUCAUCUUUGAUCCACUAUUGUUUACUGGUUGAUGCAAAUUGUUAUGCUUAUCAUGUUAAAUACUUGUCAUUACAAGGAGUGGAAGAAGGCAGACCAAUUUGAAAAUGAAAACCAUUAAACAUUCUGAUUGAUGAACAACUAUCAUUACAACUUUCAAUUUUCCCCACUUUGCUGAUAAUUGUUACACAUUGAAACACUGAACAAUCCAAGUGUCAACACGGUCAACAUUUGGGUGAAUAGUUAACCUUGAUCAAUUGUCAAUUGAUUAGCCAAAAAUGGUUAAUCUGUUUUGUGGAGUUAAAAUGACACUUGAAGCUAACCUUAACCGAAAAAAAAACCUUUGUUAAUUAUAAUCAAUCAAAUGUCAAGUCACACCCAAUAAACUCACAAUCAAUGAUAUAAUCA